UCCUGGCUCAGAACGAACGCUGGCGGCGUGCCUAACACAUGCAAGUCGAACGUGAUUGGAAGCUUGCUUCCAUGAAAGUGGCGCACGGGUGAGUAACGCGUAGAUAAUCUGCCUGGUGAUUUGGGAUAACACUUCGAAAGGGGUGCUAAUACCGAAUAAGCUCACGGAGUCUUCGGAUUCUGCGAGAAAAGGGGGGGACCUUCGGGCCUUCUGUCACCAGAUGAGUCUGCGUACCAUUAGCUAGUUGGUGGGGUAAAGGCCUACCAAGGCUACGAUGGUUAGCUGGUCUGAGAGGAUGAUCAGCCACACUGGAACUGAGACACGGUCCAGACUCCUACGGGAGGCAGCAGUGGGGAAUUUUGCGCAAUGGGGGAAACCCUGACGCAGCAACGCCGCGUGAGUGAUGAAGGCCUUCGGGUCGUAAAGCUCUGUCAGAGGGAAAGAAAUGUGGGGCGUUAAUACCGCUUCCACUUGACGGUACCCUCAAAGGAAGCACCGGCUAACUCCGUGCCAGCAGCCGCGGUAAUACGGGGGGUGCAAGCGUUGUUCGGAUUUAUUGGGCGUAAAGCGCGUGUAGGCGGUUUUUUAAGUCUGAUGUGAAAGCCCCGGGCUCAACCUGGGAAGUGCAUUGGAUACUGGGAGACUUGAAUAC
rnacentral:rRNA from 1 species